rnacentral:rRNA from 1 species
AAUGAACGCUGGCGGCAGGCCUAACACAUGCAAGUCGAACGGAUCCUUCGGGAUUAGUGGUGGACGGGUGAGUAACGCGUGGGAACAUACCCUUUGGUACGGAAUAGCCUCGGGAAACUGGGAGUAAUACCGUAUGUGGUCGAGAGACGAAAGAUUUAUCGCCAAAGGAUUGGCCCGCGUUGGAUUAGGUAGUCGGUGGGGUAAUGGCCUACCAAGCCGACGAUCCAUAGCUGGUUUGAGAGGAUGAUCAGCCACACUGGGACUGAGACACGGCCCAGACACCUACGGGAGGCAGCAGUGGGGAAUCUUAGACAAUGGGGGAAACCCUGAUCUAGCCAUGCCGCGUGAUAGAUGAAGGCCUUAGGGUUGUAAAGAUCUUUCAGGUGGGAAGAUAAUGACUGUACCACCAGAAGAAGCCCCGGCUAACUCCGUGCCAGCCGCCGCCGUAAUAC